GACCUCUCUGGUGGCAUAGUGGUUAGAGCAUUUGCCUCGAAAGGAGUGGUCACGGGUUCGAGCUCCGUCCAAGUCA